UAAGCAUGUAUUGAACUUUAUUUUUCUAAGAUUGAAUUUUGAUUCCAAUCUUGAUCGAAAAUCAGAUUUUGGAACCAUUGAUUUUGCCCAACAUCCUUGAUUGAAAUAAGAGAUUGUGGUUGUUCAUAAAGUUAUGAAAAUGGAAAUAGAUUAAUUUGCGAGAUUGGGAAUAAGAUAUAAAUUGUGCAGUUUAUGGGUAAUGAGGAGUGAGUUGUUAUGAUAAGAGUAGUUAUAUUUGAUAUCUAAUAGGAAUGAAUGUUAAUUGUUCUUCAUAUUGUUGUGAGGUGAUUGUUGGAGGUUGAUAAAAAAAUUAGAGAUGUUGGACUCUUGAAGAUUAUUAUGGAAUUGAGCAUUCUUUGGGGAAAUGAAAGAGAGUUCAUUGUUAGUGACCUUGCAGGUCCAUGUGUGGAAAGCUCAGAAUGGAUGAAAUGAAGAAUUUGGAUAUCAAGGUUAUUAUUAGAUUUAAUAAUUCGAAGGUUGUAUUUGGAAGUAUUCAAGUUCUUAGUGAAAGAUUUAAUAUUCUAUUAUUUUGGGAAUAAAGUAAAUUGUAAUCUGUUAUUGGUUGUGAAGUUAUAUUGUUGUGGGCCAUAACCCACAGGUCCAAGAUCGUUUUCAGGUUUA